GUGCUCGCUUUGACAGCACAUAUACUAAAAUUGGAAUCAUAUGGAGAAGAUUAUCAUGACCCCUGUGCAGGGAUGACAUACAAAUUUGUGAAGUGUUUCAUAUUUUU
ensembl:snRNA U6 U6 spliceosomal RNA